ACGAAACAACCAGCUAAUCAAAGUGUCAUUUCCAAAAACAAAUUAUACUACACAAGUUCUGAGUAUGUGAUAUGACCGAGGAAGAAAUAGAAGCAGACCAACAACCUAAACGGCUAAAAUCUAAAUCUUCAAUGUAUAUCCUCUAAAGGAACGAUGUCUACAGUAUUUGUCACAAAUAGUGAAACAGGAGAACAUAGAAGAAUUAGAUCUACCAAGAAAUAUAUUAACAGACUUAGAGGAUAAGUUUGAAACAUUUACCAGGAGAAAUA